rnacentral:rRNA from 1 species
GACAGAGGGUGCAAACGUUGUUCGGAAUUACUGGGCGUAAAGCGUGUGUAGGCGGCCACGUAAGUCGGAUGUGAAAGCCCCGGGCUCAACCCGGGAACUGCGUCCGAUACUGGAAGGCUUGAAUCCGGGAGAGGGAUGUGGAAUUCCAGGUGUAGCGGUGAAAUGCGUAGAUAUCUGGAGGAACACCGGUGGCGAAGGCGACAUCCUGGACCGGUAUUGACGCUGAGGCGCGAAAGCCAGGGGAGCAAACGGG